UAUCCAUGGUGGGGGCAAAGUGUUUGUAAAUCUUUGUAUCUCUCCUAGGCUUGGUAUAAGGUUUCACUAUCUUUUUGGGCAAAUGAGAAAACUUGCCUUGGGUUA
rnacentral:snoRNA from 1 species